rnacentral:misc_RNA from 1 species
AUUGUAUUUAUAUAAGUCCUAGUGCCAAGCAUCAUACAUGUAUGCACAAAAUAUCAAAUCCAUGCAUUUUUCAGUUUUUGAGAUGUAAGGGGUGUUUCAGACAAAGACUCCAGGUUGAAGUUCCCAUAGAAGACAACAGAGAACAUACAACAGACUCUCUCAAAAACCAGAAGUCUUCAUGUACUGAUGCUCCUUUGAAUGAAACAAAUGAUGAAGCAUGGACUUGCAGACUCCGUACAAGACAGACAGAUACUUCCAUUUAUGAAGACUUAGUACCGGUAAGUGUUGAAUGAAUUUAAUGAAUUUCAUGUAAACACCAAAAAAUCUGAAGAAAUACUGUAGUUAUACUUCUUCACAUACAUUUGCAUUAGGAGAGGCAGUCAGACUGUAAAGUGCAUCAAUUAAAAUUGUAAAUGUCAUGAGAGUGAAAACCUUCUCCACACCCAUAUGAAGAGAUUAGAAAGUAGUGGCCAUGAAAAAGAACCCCAAAUUGUUGCAUGUGCUCAAGUGGGUUAUGUGGAUCACAUGUCAAACAAAUAUAUAUGUUGCAAAAACUAAAAUUUGCUGUCUUCAAAGUACAUGUACAUGCAUAAUAUGCAUGUAUACAUUGUAGUACAUGUAGCUGUAAUUUAUUAAUGUACAUAACUUUUGAUUUUGUAACAGAGUGAUAGUCAAAGCAGUGCAGUUUGCAGCCAAAGUUCUAACUGGAGUCAGGAAGAGGAGGCACUUCCCCUUCAAGAAAUUCAGUUGGCUGAUGUUAAUGCAGCCAUCAACAUCAUAAGCCAAGGUCAAAUUAGUCCUCUUCGCUCAAGACUAGGCACAGACUUGGUGGAUGUUAAAGAACGAACUUUAAGGUACUACAAAAGGAAAGCAGAAGAGACUUGUACAGCUCUGCUAGAUGCGAUUGCUCCUCAUCAAGGACAAAGACUUAAGAGAAUAGUUUUACCAAGUUCAGAAUCUUCUGAUGAUGACCUUUCCAAUGUUGUUGGUGAAAUGUACCACAAUAUCAAAGAUGCAAAUUUGAAAUGUCAACUUUUGUCCUUGAUAGUACACAGGUGUUCUAAGGCUGAACUAUUGACAAAAUUUCCAGAGAUUACAAAACAUCAGAUAGACAAAGCUAGAAGACAUGCUUUUGUAUAUGGGCCUGGAUCAGAUGUUCAACUAAAAGCAUCUUCUCAACACAGAGAGCGAAUCAAUUAUGCUAAGUUACAACAUGCGGUUGAAUUUUUCAGUGACCCAUCAUUCAAUGAGAUUUCAUCAUACACUACAAGGAACCUAAAGCUAGAUUCUGGAAACACUUUAGUAAUUCCUGAUAUAGUUAGGACUAUGAUCCAUUCAAAUUUGAUCAAACUUUACAAUGCUUAUUGCACUAGUAUCAACUUUGAGCCUCUAAGUGAGUCGACUCUAUAUGAAGUGCUAAAUGCAUGCAGUGCCUCAAAACGGAAGUGCCUGAAAGGACUUGAUAACAUUGCAGUUGAUGGUUCGUCAGCUUUUGACAGUCUGAGCAGCUUAGUAGAUAAGCUUGAUGAACCUCAACAAUGGAAAAAAGAAAUGAAGGAGAAGCUGUUUAAUGCACGACUGUACUUGAAGACUGACUACAAACUUCACAUCAAGCGAGAGGAUGAAUGUGCUUUCCACUGCUUACAGUAUGCUCUGAGUGACCCCAAAUCAAGCCUUCUUGGUGUUACAUGUGAUCAUGAACAUAACCAAAACUGCAGCAGAUGUUAUAUAUUUGGUGAGGCUGUGACAGAAAUCCGUGAGGUCAUCAUAAAGACUCCCUCAGAAGAGCAAGAGGUGUUUUUGCAAGAUUUAGAAAUGUCCGUUACCCAAGUAGAAGACUGGAGAUCUCAUAUUGUAAGAACCGUGAAUCAGGAUGAUGGAAGAAUAGACGUUCUGCAUGACCUGAAGAACAACGAAGUCCUAGUGAUUUUAGACUGGGCAAUGAAGUACUUGCCACAGAUGUACCGGGAGAAAAUGAAAGACUUCUUUGGUCAGAAAGGUGUACACUGGCAUGUAUGUGUUGCAGUUUUCAAGGAUCAAAAUGGAAGUUUGGUGGUAAGCUAAUGUAUUAAUAUUACUCUUAUACUAAGUAAUUAGCAAAGGUCUGUCAAUUGAUUGUCAGGGUUUUUUUGCCUACAGUGUUAGAUAUACUUGUGUAUAAAAUGUGUAUGGCAUUUG